CACACGCAAGCAGAUUAAAUGUACCGUUAGGUGUGUGAGCGCGAGCGUCGCUAAUAACAAUUAAUUAGAAAUUAAACCCGUAUAUGGGCAAAACUAAUAUUUCUAUCGAAAAUGAGUCUAAACUUGUAAUCUAUGUAUGGGCUGUGGGAGUGAGUCAGAGAAACAAGCACACUCACGCAUACAACAAUAAGAGUAGCGAUUCAAACAGCGGCAAACAGCUGAGAAGUUUAAAGAAGAAGACGAUGUUAAAGCAGCUAUCGGGAGCAGCAGAUCAAGCAUUCUUCUUGUCACAUCAGUGGAAAUGCACUUAUUUUGGAUUUGCGCAUUUGCAAUAAAAAUACCAUGUAGUUAAAUUGAAAUGGAUAUGAAAUCAUCAUUAUAAAUAUAGCAAAAAACAAGCACACAUUACACACACUUGCAAGUGUGUGCGAGAGUGAAUUUAACAAACAAAAAGUGAUUCACGUAAAAAUAGCCAACCAACAAAAAUACAUAUCUUAACAGCUACAGCUGUCUUCUGUCCUCGAACACUUAGCGCCCACACAUACAAAGUCACAAAAUAUAUAUGUACAUUGAUUAAUAUAUAUAUGCUUAAGUGUGUUCAUGUACGUGUCCAUAUUAAAUUCCAGACAGCCUGGCCACAGGAGCGGAAAGAAUAAAAAAAACCCCACCCAACGUAACGACGACUAACGCAGCCGGCACUUUUCGCUGCUUACUGCACUUGGCUAGCGAUUUUUGCACACAACUCAAAAAAUGUUCAUCAAUUAAUUUUACGCACAUUUUGUUGUUUAUAAUUAAAGUGAAGCACGGCAAACAAACACACACAUAUAUAUCUAUUAUUGUUCACUUACCACAAAAAGUAAUAUAAUGCGAAGGUAAGCAAAUUAUUAAAUACACAGUUUUUAAUAGAGCCGCCUCAAACGU